UAUUAGGAUUUACUCCGAAAGCGAAGAAACUUACAACAAAGAGUCCCUCCCGACUGUUUACCAAAAACACAGCACUCUGCUAACUCGUAAGAGGAUGUAUAGGGUGUGACGCCUGCCCGGUGCUCGAAGGUUAAUUGAUGGGGUUAGCAUUAGCGAAGCUCUUGAUCGAAGCCCGAGUAAACGGCGGCCGUAACUAUAACGGUCCUAAGGUAGCGAAAUUCCUUGUCGGUUAAAUACCGACCUGCAUGAAUGGCGUAACGAGAUGGGAGCUGUCUCAAAGAGGGAUCCAGUGAAAUUGUAGUGGAGGUGAAAAUUCCUCCUACCCGCGGCAAGACGGAAAGACCCCGUGGACCUUUACUACAGCUUGACACUGCUAUUUGGAUAAGAAUGUGCAGGAUAGGUGGGAGGCUUUGAGUAUAUGACGCCAGUUGUAUAUGAGCCAUUGUUGAGAUACCACUCUUUCUUAUUUGGGUAGCUAACCAGCUUGAGUUAUCCUCAAGUGGGACAAUGUCUGGUGGGUAGUUUGACUGGGGCGGUCGCCUCCCAAAUAAUAACGGAGGCUUACAAAGGUUGGCUCAGAACGGUUGGAAAUCGUUCGUAGAGUAUAAAGGUAUAAGCCAGCUUAACUGCAAGACAUACAAGUCAAGCAGAGACGAAAGUCGGUCUUAGUGAUCCGGUGGUUCUGCGUGGAAGGGCCAUCGCUCAAAGGAUAAAAGGUACCCCGGGGAUAACAGGCUGAUCUCCCCCAAGAGCUCACAUCGACGGGGAGGUUUGGCACCUCGAUGUCGGCUCAUCGCAUCCUGGGGCUGGAGCAGGUCCCAAGGGUAUGGCUGUUCGCCAUUUAAAGCGGUACGCGAGCUGGGUUCAGAACGUCGUGAGACAGUUCGGUCCCUAUCUGCCGUGGGCGUAAGAAGAUUGAAGAGAUUUGACCCUAGUACGAGAGGACCGGGUUGAACAAACCACUGGUGUAGCUGUUGUUCUGCCAAGAGCAUCGCAGCGUAGCUAAGUUUGGAAAGGAUAAACGCUGAAAGCAUCUAAGCGUGAAGCCAACUCUAAGAUGAAUCUUCUCUAAGCUCUCUAGAAGACUACUAGUUUGAUAGGCUGGGUGUGUAAUGGAUGAAAGUCCUUUAGCUGACCAGUACUAAUAGAGCGUUUGGCUUAUCUUU
rnacentral:rRNA from 1 species